CCUUUGACAGCCCGAAACCGGGUCUUACCCUGCUUGCAGGGACAGAGUGACAGGUGCUGCAUGGCUGUCGUCAGCUCGUGUCGUGAGAUGUUGGGUUAAGUCCCGCAACGAGCGCAAACCCCUCUCUCUAGUUGCCCGUAUUCAGUUAGGCACUCUAGAGAUACUGCCUCGGUUAACCGGGAGGAAGGUGGGGACGACGUCAAGUCCUCAUGGCCCUUUAUAUCCAGGGCUACACACGUGCUACAAUGGGCGGUACAAAGGGUUGCUAGUCCGCGAGGAGGAGCUAAUCCCAAAAAGCCGCUCUCAGUUCGGAUCGGAGUCUGCAACUCGACUCUGUGAAGUUGGAAUCGCUAGUAAUCGUGGAUCAGCAUGCCACGGUCGAAUACGUUCCCGGGCCUU
rnacentral:rRNA from 1 species